ACCAGGACAGUGGGGCAAGUCAGUUUGGAAAACCCCCUGCUUAAAAUGCUAAGCAAGCUUGCAAGGUGCAGAUCAGCCUCCCAGCCUUUGUCCUAAUUGAGUAAUCAAAUCUUCAACUGCAAAGGCUCCUAGAAGUCGGGAGAAUGAUGGCGUGGAAGGAGACUACAAAGUGACAAAAGUAUUAGAUGAAAAACUCAGAAAGUCAUCCAUCUGUCAUAAAUGUGCCCUAACUGAAAACUGGAGUAACAAAUGUUUGCAGUGCUUAUCUGUAUUCUGUCACAAGGACUAACUAACUCGGUCCUCAACUGAAAAACAAUGCUGAGGAUUCCUCCUUACACAGCUGAAGAGAUGGCAAGCAUGGUGCCUUGCUACAGCCUGACAUUUCCAAUCACAACCCUGAGAUGGAUGAGCAUGUCAUCAAGCUGGAGCACCAAAGCCAUGUGAAGGGCUGUUCCUGCUGUGAUUCUCACAGACCGACAAUUCUCAGUAGAAGCCAUUAGACUCAACAGGAAUCUUUUGUUGUUGCUGCUGCUGUUGUUUGGCUUUUCUGUUUGUUUUGUUUUGUUUUUCAAGACAGGGUUUCUCUGUCUUACAGACCUGGCUGUCCUGGAACAUACUCUGUAGACCAGGUUGACCUUGAACUCAUAGAGAUCCACCUUCUGGCUUCUGCCUUUUGAGUGUUGGGAUUAAAGAUUUGCACCACCACUGUCUGGCUCAGCAGGAAUCUUUCCUGCCACUGUUGUCAUGGGUCUUAGAAGUCAGUGAACUAUGGUACCCAGAAGAUGAGGACAAAAAUAAAAGAUGAGAGCCUAGAAUUUAAAGGAAGUUCCCUAAUGCUACACACUGCUAUUAUCCUCCAGUACAAUUGAGGAACAUGAAGCUGUGUGGGUUUUCUCAACCUACCCAAGAUUACAUGUAUCACAGUUGGGACCCUACCAUGAUCCCUCCUAGCUUCUGAACCCAAUGUGACCUAGGACCUCAAUAAAAUUCUUGCCCUGUCUUCUUUCUUCAAUGGAUAAUUUAAAAUAGAAAUAAUAAAUAUAACACCUCAUUGUGUAUAGGUAGGACUUUACUCCCGAUAAAUGGUGUUCUUUCAGCUUGACCACACAUGCUGCACAGAACGGAAGUCGUUCCACUAUGGGCUCUGACAUGGGUUAUCGGCUAGAGCCUUAUUUCUGGCCCACACACACACCAGUAUCAAAAGCCUUGCUCAGAGACUCACUGAUGACCCAUGUC